UCAAAAACAGCGGACUUCGGUCCUUGCUGCACCCUUGUCUUUUGCGCACCGUAUUGUUUUCCUCGGCGGGCUUGCCUGCCGGUUGGACAUUAUCAAAAACCUUUUUGUAGUUGCAAUCAGCGUCAGAAAAAACAAUAAUUAUUA
rnacentral:misc_RNA from 1 species